GAGGCGGGGAGCGGCCUCAGCGCCUCGCGGGGAUGCGCGCAGCGGGGCGGGGGCGGGAUCGCGCCGCGCCCCCCCCCGGAGCUGCGGCCUCAGCCCUGCCCCGCCACCCGCCUCCCGGCCCCGCUCUCGGAGCCGGGCGCCGCUCGCUGCAGGGCCGGAGGGGCGGACGGCGUCUCCCUGCGGUGGCUGCUUUGGGAUGGGGGGGACGGGCGGCAGCGCCCGCGGGGUGUCCGUCCUUCAGUCCGUCUGUCCGUCCGUCCAUCCAUCCCUGCGUGGGCGGCGGCUCGUGUGUGCGUGUGUGACUGACAGGGAGGCGCGCACGCCGCGGGAGCAGUCGCCCUCACGCCGCCAGCCGGGGGCCGCCCCGCCUGCGGCAGCCCCUUCUCCGUCCCCCGGAGCCCUCCCCGGCGGGGGCGACCUCAGAGGCCUCGCUGCUCCUCCUCCUCCCUCCUGGCGGCUCCCGGGGACACAGAACACAGCAUCUUCUAACUACAGCAAUAGACUCAGCUGCGGAAGAUCUCUACCAGGCAUCACAGAGAACUUGAGGCAGCUGGCAGUUAUCAGCUGAAGCAGGUAGUCAGAACUGUAGAAGAUAAAUAGAUAAUAGAAAAGCAAUCUGGAAACCUGGGAGAGAUGAUGAACCUCUCUUCUAGAGGGGAGGUAACAACUCAGGUGGACCACAGGAAGGAGUUGAUGUCAGUGUAAUGUGAAUUCUUGUGGAGUUCAACAACAACAACAACAAAGGUUAAAAAGAAAACUUCUCAAUUUGCUUUGGAAGAUGCUUUAAAAAGAUCUGUCUGUACCACAACAACUAUAAACAAUCCUGUACAUUUACACUGAAAUGACAUAAACCAAGCAUGUGCAACAAAUAUUUUUUAGAGUAUUAGUUACCACUGUCAAAGUCCUAACCAGGAAAACAACUUCUUAUAUUCAAAAAACCCAUUAAAAAAAUUUAAAUGUGUCUGUGUUACUGGUUGCAUAAAUAAUGUGAGUCGUUUGAACAGUCUUUGUAAUUCUUAAAAAGUAGCUGCUGUACAUGUUUUUAUUUUUUAUGUAUUGUUUUAAUAUUUGUUUCACUAUGCCACUGGACAUGAAUUACUUGUGUGCCUUUCUAAAUUCUGCCUCAAAGUAGUGAUUACUGAGUGUGUUUUUCCUUUCAUAUCUCAUUCUAUGACUGCUAAAACAAGAAAAGGUCAAAGUUUUAGAGCUUAUAUACAUCAGAAGUUUAAAAUGACCAUUUGUUAAUUUGAGGCCUGAUUCAUCUUUCCAUUAUGCCAGUAUAAUCCUAGUGAUAGACUCUGGGCCAGUCUAUAUCCAUUUUUUAUAUCAAUUUCUCACUUUAGAUGUUAUACAACUGUAAAUUGCUACCCCUGUAUUAUAAGAUAUGCCUGACUUCAUUAGAUUACAAAACUUCUUAGGUAGCAGAAUUGUCUUUCUUACAUAUUUUUGUUUCUUUUUCAAAAAAGAUGAAAGAGAAGCAGCCAAAAUAUUGUUUAUUAAAUAAAAUUUUGCAUACUUCAAAACUGUAAAAAUCCUCAGUUUAUCAUGCAUUUACUUUCUUUAUUGAUUAGAUAAAAAAUGUAGUUUUGCAAGGUAAAGGUAUUAUAAAAGAUUUCAGAUAUAGUGAUAUAAGUUUUGGGGUCUAUAUACCAAACAGGUCCUUCUCCCAACACACAAAUCAACACCAGGAGACUUUUGAAGAAGAAACCACACAGUAAUUGAAGCACAAAUGUGUGUGCUUCUACAGAGAAGUUUGAGGAAGCAGAAGUCAACUCUCUUUUUGUGGAAGGCCUCAGAAUGCUAAUCCAAACCCUAUUUUCCCCAACAGAUACAAGGCAUGGCGGCUGUGUGUUUGCAGGUGUUUGCAUAUGUGCUCUUACUUCUUUCUAGUGACUUUCUUAUUCUGUAACAAUUAGGCCUGGUGGAGCUUCUGGUGGUGCCUUGGAAUCACACUAUUCUGUUUUGAUUAUUCCAUAGGAUCAGUAAUAAAAAUGUCUUUCUUCAUGUUUCCAUUUUAUUGUGAGUCUUUGUCUCAUUGCCAGUAAUGUCUUUGAAUAUACAAGUACUGUAUUUUGUAUUGAAAUAUCCACUUCUUAUCAAAUGACUUGAAUUAUUGUGGUCAAAGGUGAGACCAGUGGAGGUUAAGACACCCUAGGCAUCUAUAUGGAAGUACUCAAGUGUAAGCUAUAUGUGUGAAAUCCUGUUCUAGACAACAGAGUCAAUGCAAUCCAUGUAACCUACUCAGUGCCUGUCGUGAAAUGAGUGGUUUAGAGCCACAUGUAUAAUCAAUUAGGAUUGCCUAAAGAAUCAUCGUACCAAAUCACUACAGAUGAGAUUUUUUACAUGGCUUUUGACCUAGCAGUAGGCUGCAGUUUUAAGGUGGUGAGUUCAGUGAAUUAUUCACAUCAAAUGUCUCAGCAUUUCUCAGUGGGUGAGGGUUGAGCCUCCAGGAGUGGGGAGUCUUCAGCCCAGGUCCCAUCAUCAGCUUUUGUCAAUGGUCCUGCAAUUUUCACGACCUGGAGAGUUUGUGAGCUCUGAGAGGCAUCCUGCUCAGAGGGAGGUGCUGGUCACAGCCUUCUGCAGUCUAGGAGAGCUCAAAGAGUCUCACUUAGGACCACUGUGUAUAGUGUCGCAAGAUGAUUUGCUUUAGUAAAUUUCCAUCCUGACCACAACCUGAGUCAGUAAUUACCAGAAUUUUUCAAAAUUCCAGUAACAAUGGUACUGUUAGACUCAGGCUAUGACCAAGGUGAGAAAUGUUCCAAGGCUGUCAGGAGAUGACUGAUUAUCCCUGCUCUCGCUUCCCACCUUGGCCACACAACAGGACUCCCUGGUACGGUCAGUGCCUCCUUCCUGAGUCAUGCAAGAAUUAGUGGUAUGGUCAAGGAAUGCUCAAUGGUCAAUGUCAUUACACAAAGGUUUGACGGGUACUCCUCAAGUCGUAGAGCGGUCCAUAGGAUGGAAGGGAAGGAGUGAUGGGGAAUGCACCACCACAUGGCCUUGUCAGCUGACAAACUACUUUGCAUAUGUUGCAGAGUGAUCUGGGCUGUUCUCUAGGCUCCAUCUGAACACAGAAUAAAACUGUGUCAUCUUGUAAAAUGUACCGUCAGUAUCUGUGUCUUGCAGAGGACACAUCUAAAGGACGCAUCUCCCAGAAACCGGAAAAAUAUUCUACUGUAAUCACUGAGUUUCUGACAAAAAUAGUAAAAAGAACUUUCUUGAGUUUCUCCCAAAGGUAAAUUAAGAUUAUGUGAAAUUGUCAAAUCUUCUCUUGUCAUUUGCUGUGAUUUGUGCAUAUCAUACACCUCUGUACUCUAACUGGUAACAUGUAUUUGGCCAAGUGAAAGCAAUCUUGGGUAAUCUUUGUGUGCCUUUAUCCUGAUAAUGUGUAUCAGUGCCGUGAUGCCAGUUCUCAAAUCUCUUAGGCUUAUUCAAUACACUUAAAAUAUUAACAGGAUUAUUUGAGUUGGUAGCCUGUAAUAAUGGGAGACUACAGUUGUUGAUGCAGAAGGUUACUCUGAAUUCCAGUGUCUGUCUGUCUUACCUGUUCCAUGCAAAUAAAACACUUUCCUGUAAACAGUU